CUAAGUGUGGAUGCGGGUUUCUCAGACCUCCAUUAGUGAUUGGGGCUGGACGAGCAGUGCCUGACAGUGGAAAGAGAUGCUUUGAGCAAUGGUGGGGAGAAAGCAGACCCCUGAAUGAAAGUGGGACCCAGUUUGUGCUUCUUACUGAAGAUGCAAUCCCUAUUGCAGUGCAAGAGGUGUCUGCCUUUGGUAGGGGUGAGGAGGGGGUGCUGAUGCACCUCCUGGACCACGGAUGAUUCGUUCGCAGUUAACUUUGCCCACAUUCCCCUGGGAGCCUCUCUUCCAAGACUCACCACCUCUUUGCUCUGCUUUGAGGGGCUCCUUGAAUGCCACUUGGUCAUUUUUUCCCUCUGUAUGGAACGUGGGGAAGCUGUGCUGGAGUCGCCAGCAAUGUGGAGAGCCUCAUGCACCCAGGCACCGGAGCAAUUGACCCUCUCUGGCUGUACCAAGUCUACUUCGGAAUGUAUGAUGGACGGCCCCUACUGUUACCCAGAAGGGCUUUGAAAGUGCAAGAUAUGCUGCUUAACUCUUGAAGAACUGACAGACAUCACACCUUUCCCAGGAGGAUUGUGACUGGAGCUUCAAUCAUUUUUUCCCCUGUUUCUGUGCAAGCUCUUCAGGAAAUCCCCAAGCCUUGGA